GACGAACGCUGGCGGCGUGCUUAACACAUGCAAGUCGAACGGAAAGGGCCUGCUUUUGUGGGGUGCUCGAGUGGCGAACGGGUGAGUAACACGUGAGUAACCUGCCCUUGACUUUGGGAUAACUUCAGGAAACUGGGGCUAAUACCGGAUAGGAGCUCCUGCUGCAUGGUGGGGGUUGGAAAGUUUCGGCGGUUGGGGAUGGACUCGCGGCUUAUCAGCUUGUUGGUGGGGUAGUGGCUUACCAAGGCUUUGACGGGUAGCCGGCCUGAGAGGGUGACCGGCCACAUUGGGACUGAGAUACGGCCCAGACUCCUACGGGAGGCAGCAGUGGGGAAUAUUGCACAAUGGGCGGAAGCCUGAUGCAGCAACGCCGCGUGCGGGAUGACGGCCUUCGGGUUGUAAACCGCUUUCGCCUGUGACGAAGCGUGAGUGACGGUAAUGGGUAAAGAAGCACCGGCUAACUACGUG
rnacentral:rRNA from 1 species